CAAAGAUCAUCUUUUUUUCAUCUUUGUCCUUGACUGCCAUGGUUUUGUGUGUCAAUAAUCCUUGAUACAGGAUGAGACUUUUCUACAUGUCAGUGCUCUUUAUCAUUUUGUUCUUUUUUGCCUAGACCAUCCUGAAGAUUUUUCUGUGUGCUGAAGUUUCACCCAAAGGGGACAAGUGGGCCACACUAGCCACGUACCGCAACAUCCCAUUUGGUGAAGUUUGGACACCGCAAAACCCUUUGGAACCCUGAUCCUCUCCUGACUGUAAAAUGGUCCUGUUAAUGCUGGCUAAAACUCCUGCUAGGCAUUUGCUGUCUGCGCUGGAAGCCAUUCAAUAAGAAGCAACCAUUUAUAAGAUGCACACCCACGUGAUGAAAUAAACCACAGAUUAUCAAAGGCUUUAGGAGUUUU
rnacentral:lncRNA from 1 species